GGGGAAUAUUGCGCAAUGGGCGAAAGCCUGACGCAGCCAACCCGCGUGUGUGAUGAAGGCCUUCGGGUUGUAAAGCACUGUCGUGAGGGAAGAAGUUCUGACGGUACCUCACAAGAAAGCACCGGCUAACCCCGUGCCAGCAGCCGCGGUAAUACGGGGGGUGCAAGCGUUGCUCGGAAUCACUGGGCGUAAAGCGUCCGCAGGCGGGACGGUCAGUCGAAUGUGAAAGCCCGGGGCUCAACCCCGGAACUGCGUUCGAUACUGCCGUCCUCGAGUGCGGAAGAGGUGAGCGGAAUUCCUGGUGUAGAGGUGAAAUUCGUAGAUAUCAGGAGGAACACCAGUGGCGAAAGCGGCUCCCUGGCCCGAUACUGACGCUCAUGGACGAAAGCGUGGGGAGCAAAC
rnacentral:rRNA from 1 species